rnacentral:lncRNA from 1 species
AAACCCUAAGUACUAAGGUUAAUGGCACAAUUAUGAAUCAAGAUCUAGUUAAAACUAAACAAACCUAAUUAUCUAACUAUCAGUAUUACUAAUCAUCUAAUUAAUUUUAAAAAUCUAAUUAUCAUUAAUCUAAUUAGAAUUCUAAAAAUCUAAUCAAAUUCUAAAAAAAACAAAUAAUCUAAUUAAAUUCUAAAAUUCUAAUCAAUUCUAAAAAUUCUAAAUCAACCUCUAAUCUAAUCAAGUUCUAAAAAAC